rnacentral:rRNA from 1 species
GGUAGAGAAUACCAAGGCGCUUGAGAGAACUCGGGUGAAGGAACUAGGCAAAAUGGUGCCGUAACUUCGGGAGAAGGCACGCUGACACGUAGGUGAAGUGAUUUACUCAUGGAGCUGAAGUCAGUCGAAGAUACCAGCUGGCUGCAACUGUUUAUUAAAAACACAGCACUGUGCAAACACGAAAGUGGACGUAUACGGUGUGACGCCUGCCCGGUGCCGGAAGGUUAAUUGAUGGGGUCAGCGCAAGCGAAGCUCCUGAUCGAAGCCCCGGUAAACGGCGGCCGUAACUAUAACGGUCCUAAGGUAGCGAAAUUCCUUGUCGGGUAAGUUCCGACCUGCACGAAUGGCGUAAUGAUGGCCAGGCUGUCUCCACCCGAGACUCAGUGAAAUUGAACUCGCUGUGAAGAUGCAGUGUACCCGCGGCAAGACGGAAAGACCCCGUGAACCUUUACUAUAGCUUGACACUGAACAUUGAGCCUUGAUGUGUAGGAUAGGUGGGAGGCUUUGAAGUGUGGACGCCAGUCUGCAUGGAGCCGGCCUUGAAAUACCACCCUUUAAUGUUUGAUGUUCUAACGUGGACCCGUUACCCGGGUUGCGGACAGUGUCUGGUGGGUAGUUUGACUGGGGCGGUCUCCUCCUAAAGAGUAACGGAGGAGCACGAAGGUUGGCUAAUCCUGGUCGGACAUCAGGAGGUUAGUGCAAUGGCAUAAGCCAGCUUGACUGCGAGCGUGACGGCGCGAGCAGGUGCGAAAGCAGGUCAUAGUGAUCCGGUGGUUCUGAAUGGAAGGGCCAUCGCUCAACGGAUAAAAGGUACUCCGGGGAUAACAGGCUGAUACCGCCCAAGAGUUCAUAUCGACGGCGGUGUUUGGCACCUCGAUGUCGGCUCAUCACAUCCUGGGGCUGAAGUAGGUCCCAAGGGUAUGGCUGUUCGCCAUUUAAAGUGGUACGCGAGCUGGGUUUAGAACGUCGUGAGACAGUUCGGUCCCUAUCUGCCGUGGGCGCUGGAGAACUGAGGGGGGCUGCUCCUAGUACGAGAGGACCGGAGUGGACGCAUCACUGGUGUUCGGGUUGUCAUGCCAAUGGCACUGCCCGGUAGCUAAAUGCGGAAGAGAUAAGUGCUGAAAGCAUCUAAGCACGAAACUUGCCCCGAGAUGAGUUCUCCCUGAGACUUUAGGUCUCCUGAAGGAACGUUGAAGACGACGACGUUGAUAGGCCGGGUGUGUAAGCGCAGCGAUGCGUUGAGCUAACCGGUACUAAUGAACCGUGAGGCUUAACCUUACAACGCCGAAGGUGUUU